UGUGUUAAUCUAUCUCCAUUCCAAAGUUCAGCCAAAUCCGUGCAGAAGUUUUUGCGUGAUUGAGUAACAAACAUCCAAACAUCCACACUUUAACAUUUAUAAUAUUAGUAGGAUUAGGAUUAUACUGAAGUACCGAUGUUCUGUCAACAUAGAUCACGAUCCACAGCGCGGCGGGCAUUGCCAUUUCACCACAGGAUAACCUUCAAGCCAUCUAGCCAUCAUUUUUUAUGAUUUCAAAUUUCAACAUAGAUAAUAAUAAUUAUUACUUUCUCAUGGGCAUUAUAAAGCAUUUAAAUCUGUAUGUACAAUAUUUCAAUUAAUAUAUCUAAUUUAUUAGUUAUUAACUAAACAGAUAUUUCCUCAGUUCCUCAGAAAAUAGUACAUUAAUAAAAAUUAUUUUGGUGAAGUAUAAUAAAAUAAAGCAAUUCAUUGUCCUGUUUUUGCACAUUCAUAAAAUUUCGCAAUAUUAAAAGAUCAAAUAAAAUGUUUCAACAGAUACACCUAGGUAACCUAUGAUUUAAUAAAAAUAUUCAUGGUAUAUAUUAUAUUUUUCUUAUCCUUCCCUAUUUCAUUUUUACUUUAUUUAUACAACAAAGGGGAGAUGGGACAUGGAUUGCAAGAAAUAUUCAAUGUUCGUGAAAUGUUCUUAAUUUUGGUUUAUUGCAUUAUUUCAUUUCAUAGUUUUAAUAAAUUUCGAGACAUAGAAUAAAAUCUAAAAGAAAACAUGAGCAUUCAACAGUCAUCAAAAAUGGGUUACUUACAUACCAAGUAGAAAAAUAGUUGCUUGUAGGAAAGGCAAGUUCUAAAACCAUAGCAAAUUCGUAUUAUAUCGUUAAAAUAUUUAUAAAGAAAGCAGUCGUAUAUAUAUAACAAGCAAGCAAUAUUAUUAUAUCGUUGUGGUUCUGAUAUUUAUGUUAAUAUAACAAAAAAUAUGAGUUCUACAAUAACAAAAAAAUUGUGACACCUAAUCGAUUUAAGGUCUACAGAAGAAAUUCUAAAUAAUGAGGAACUUUCUAAAGCGUGUUCUUUAAAAGCCUAAUUCAUAGAUGGCGCUGUGCAUGCUUUUCCAAGGAGGUAGAAAAAUAUUGCUUAUCCCAAAAAAUUAAAGACCUCUGAGGUGAUUUUAGAAACCCAAAAACCAAGUGAACGUAAAUCUACAUAGUUAUCAAGACCAGGUGAGGUUAUAAAAACAAUAAGUGACAUUUUCCGCAGUUUUUCAGGUUUCAAAAACGCGAAAUAAUAAUCACUCUCAGCUUUCGUUAAACAAAGUAUAGGGUAUACUUUAGGGUAGGCAAAAAAUUCCGUGUGCGUUAAACAUUUUGAAUCACUAACCAAUCACAAACAUGUUUUCAAAAAACAUUCGAAAUUCAAUUCGAAAAUGUUUAAAAAACCAAUUAAAAUUCAAUUAGAAAAUACAGUUUCGUUCGUAAUUGGUUGAUACCUCAAAAUGGUAAACGCCCACCGAGAUUUUUGUAUGGGAUUACAUAACAGAGAGAGCCCGAUACUUUUUUCCGCAGAUAAGGUACAGCACAAAUGUCCAUGUCUUUGCUCAGAAAGGCAUGAAUAGUGUAAUCUAUGAAGCUUUGAAGGAACACCUCCUGGAAAAUCCCUUUUUGAGAUAAGUGAGUAGUUAACAAAGUGAAAAAUUGAACAUUAUUGGUGUUCGCCAAACAGUGCUACCACGAAGACAAGUGGCAUAGUGGUAAGGACGUCGCUACAUCAGGUCACAUUAUAUCAGGUCGUAACACUAAAUUUUAUAAUACAAAUUACUCUCUCUAGUUUAAAUUUCUCUAACAGGGCAAAGUGCACUUAUAACAUUCGUGGUAAUACUGUAUUUUAUAUUCCUUUUAAUUCUUUUAUUCACAAUAUUGUUCUAUCUUUGAACUAUUAUUCCAGUAAUAAAUGAUUAAGGCCAAGUAAUAACGAAGCUAUAAUAUGUCACGUCAGUCUGUCUCUACAGUGUUGAAGGAAUUACAUGACAGUUCAACUGGUCGAUUGCGAAAAAGAUGUAUCAAUCAUAGCUACAAUCGCAAUUGUCAUGAUGGCCGACUGAAUUUAUGGUAUUAUUGCUACGUCUUGUAGCCAAUAGUGAGAAUUGCUAAUUCUGACGUAUCUAUUAUAAGAUCUCUUAAUAUACAAGUUCAAAUAUAUUGCUAUCCCUUUUAUACUGCCAUGUUACAUCUAAAACGUUGUUAAGAUAUUUUCGCGCCAUUCAAAAAUAAGAUUUCUGCUACAUCGGCGUAACUUACAGGUGGUAAAUGUUAAUACUGUACUGUCUUCACUUUUUUGUAGGAGCGUUGAGCGCAACUGUAAGAUCGUUACCUAUCUGGAGUUAUCUAAUAUCUUUGGUCCUGAUUGGCUAGUAUUUAAACCAGUCGAGUCAAGAGUACCAUAAAUUCACCAGCAACAACUAGUUGCGACGAUCUCUCACAAUCACAAUUUCUGGGCCAGAUGUGCAAGUAAAGAUGUGUAGUGAAGAUCCAAGAAUUGUUUUCGAGACAAAAAGGUUGCGCCAUCUCUAAAUAACUAUUUAAGAAUUUGUCAUGAAAUUCGUUCCAACUGUGUAAUCAAUAAGAUUAUCUUUCGUAUUUAACUAGCAUACACCCGUGACAAUCAGCGCCAUUGUCCGUUCGAAAUUAGGUAAGUACAUUGAACAUACAAAACACCCUAAAACUUGUGUAGGAAUUUUUAAAAUUUUUAACUAUCAAUAGCAUACAUCUCGUUUUUUCUUUUAUUGCGUGUAUAUGUCACCGUACAAUUGUAAAUAUCGUUAAGAUUAUAAUCUUGCAAGAUUGUAAAAUGUCGAAAGAUUGUGAACCGUAACACUGCUUACAAUUUAAUUUCGGUAGAUAUCGCUCCUCAAAUCGCUACGUUAAACUUAACUUUAAAUUAAUUAGAUUAAUUUAUCCAAAAGAACAUAAGUAUUUAUGUUCUAACCUAAUCUAACUUUAGAGUUUGGCAAAUAAGUAUAGGUAGAAUUAAUUUAUUACAUUUAUUGCCAGUCAAGUUAAUUUUUCCCGAACAUAAUUUAUCCCCGCUCGGUUUAGUGUUAACGUAUCCUAUUAACAGUCGUCAAAAUGUAAGCAGUAUGGUAUGGUUCACAAUCUUUCGACAGUUUACAAUCUUGCGAGAUUAUAACCUAACGGCAUUUACAAUUUUAUGGUGUCAUAUUUACAUAAAAUAUUUAUAUGACUCAGUUAUAUAGUAUAUGUGUGAUGAUACAUGUAAUAUGUGUGAUGUAUAUUGUGUAGUACGUUAGGCCCAUAUUGUCAUUUAUAUUAGAAAGUGGUAGCAUGUACAUUUAUUUGCCGCAGUUAACAAUGGUUAAUAUUUAUUUUCGUUAAACAAUCGAUAAAUUGAAGGUA